rnacentral:rRNA from 1 species
GAUGAACGCUGGCGGCAGGCCUAACACAUGCAAGUCGAGCGGUAGAGAGGUGCUUGCAUCUCUUGAGAGCGGCGGACGGGUGAGUAAUGCCUAGGAAUCUGCCUAGUGGUGGGGGAUAACGUUCGGAAACGGACGCUAAUACCGCAUACGUCCUACGGGAGAAAGCGGGGGAUCUUCGGACCUCGCGCCAUUAGAUGAGCCUAGGUCGGAUUAGCUAGUUGGUGAGGUAAUGGCUCACCAAGGCGACGAUCCGUAACUGGUCUGAGAGGAUGAUCAGUCACACUGGAACUGAGACACGGUCCAGACUCCUACGGGAGGCAGCAGUGGGGGAAUAUUGGACAAUGGGCGAAAGCCUGAUCCAGCCAUGCCGCGUGUGUGAAGAAGGUCUUCGGAUUGUAAAGCACUUUAAGUUGGGAGGAAGGGUAGUAACCUAAUACGUUGCUACUUUGACGUUACCGACAGAAUAAGCACCGGCUAACUUCGU